UACGGAGGAUCCAAGCGUUAUCCGGAUUUAUUGGGUUUAAAGGGUGCGUAGGCGGCCUAUUAAGUCAGGGGUGAAAGACGGUAGCUUAACUAUCGCAGUGCCUUUGAUACUGAUAGGCUUGAAUGUACUUGAGGUAGGCGGAAUGUGACAAGUAGCGGUGAAAUGCAUAGAUAUGUCACAGAACACCAAUUGCGAAGGCAGCUUACUAAAGUAUGAUUGACGCUGAGGCACGAAAGCGUGGGGAGCAAACAGG
rnacentral:rRNA from 1 species